rnacentral:rRNA from 1 species
AACGAACGCUGGCGGCAGGCCUAACACAUGCAAGUCGAGCGAAGCCUUCGGGCUUAGCGGCGGACGGGUGAGUAACGCGUGGAACGUGCCCUUUGCUACGGAAUAGCCCCGGGAAACUGGGAGUAAUACCGUAUGUGCCCUUCGGGGGAAAGAUUUAUCGGCAAAGGAUCGGCCCGCGUUGGAUUAGGUAGUUGGUGGGGUAAUGGCCUACCAAGCCGACGAUCCAUAGCUGGUUUGAGAGGAUGAUCAGCCACACUGGGACUGAGACACGGCCCAGACUCCUACGGGAGGCAGCAGUGGGGAAUUUUAGACAAUGGGGGAAACCCUGAUCUAGCCAUGCCGCGUGAUCGAUGAAGGCCUUAGGGUUGUAAAGAUCUUUCAGUGGGGAAGAUAAUGACUGUACCCACAGAAGAAGCCCCGGCUAACUCCGUGCCAGCCGCCGCAGUAAUAC